ACGAAACAUAUUUUUAUAGCCUUCUAUUCACUUUGCCAUUCGUGUAUUACAGAUGAAUUUUUGGAUGAAGGGGAAAAGAAGCGCUAGAGCAAGUUUAAUAUUUUAAUAUUAAUAUCGUGCACGUCCUCAUACUGGUAUUGAACUUUUUUUUUUUUAAUUUUCUUUAUUAGAUACUCAAUUACUGGUAACUGCGUAAUCGAUACAAAU